rnacentral:rRNA from 1 species
UACGUAGGGGGCAAGCGUUAUCCGGAUUUACUGGGUGUAAAGGGAGCGUAGACGGCAAGACAAGCCUGGAGUGAAAGGCGGGGGCUCAACCCCCGGACUGCUCUGGGAACUGUCUGGCUGGAGUGCAGGAGGGGUAAGUGGAAUUCCUAGUGUAGCGGUGAAAUGCGUAGAUAUUAGGAGGAACACCAGUGGCGAAGGCGGCUUAGUGGACUGUAACUGACGUUGAGGCUCGAAAGCGUGGGGAGCAAACAGG